rnacentral:tmRNA from 1 species
GGGGACGCCAUGGUUUCGACAGGAAAAGAUAGGAAGAUCGGCAGCCGGUAGGCGAUGACCGUAAAUCAAGCAAAACCUUUAAAUGCAAAUGACGAAAGUUACGCAUUAGCAGCCUAAUACUGGCUAGCUAGGAGCUUUAUCCACUUGGCAACAGAACGGAUAAAAAAGGGAGCUUCGGCUCCCUUUUUCAU